UACGAAGGGGGCUAGCGUUGCUCGGAAUCACUGGGCGUAAAGAGCGCGCAGGCGGUCGUUCAAGUCGCGUGUGAAAGCCCCCGGCUCAACUGGGGAGGGUCACGCGAUACUGAUCGACUCGAAGGCAGGAGAGGGAAGUGGAAUUCCCGGUGUAGUGGUGAAAUGCGUAGAUAUCGGGAGGAACACCAGUGGCGAAGGCGACUACCUGGCCUGUUCUUGACGCUGAGGCGCGAAAGCUAGGGGAGCAAACGGG
rnacentral:rRNA from 1 species